rnacentral:lncRNA from 1 species
GAUCUUAGAAGACUGAGAAGCGAUAGUUCCAAAUCUUUUAAUAAACAGACAUGCUCAUUAAUGAGGUGCUGGAGACAUUACAGCCCUACUGAGAACCAGGCAGAGAGGGAACCCAGAAAGUCCAGAUGGGUUGCUGAUUAACACACGAUUCAGAUCCUGUACACGUGUCCCAGGCUACCAGACUCCCUCCCUUCCCCUGCCAACCAGGAACCAGCCUGACUACAAUUACUUACUAUGGAAUGCCUAUCAGUCACAUGGUAUAGAGCCAGCUCCCUCCUCUGAAAUGUAUAAGAAGGGACGUUACUGUGCCACAUGGGCCUACACUCCCUUCAGGGCCCCCACAGUUGUCUUUCAGUCAAUCAAAAGUGUCAACUCGAUUAGUAAAUCUUUGACCCAAAGAGCCAUUGGUCUCAGUGUUCCCUUUCAUUUAUUUUGAGAUCCUCUUUGCAGGAUCAAAGGACUGCACCACCAUGCCAGGCCCUUUAGUGUUCUCCUUAAACUCAAACCUCAACCUUUCAAUAAUGAAAUACAGGACAUAUUUAGCUACAGCAUGAG